ensembl:lncRNA AABR07026565.1
CAAACCCACGGAGGAGGAUCUCCAGCUACUGCUGUCCACACCGCAGUGAAGGCAUGGCGCCUUGGCCCCCCAGAUCUGUGGUCCUUAGAGGGACAGCUCGAAAUCAAAAAGUACCUGGAAACCAUGGUUUGCAAGUUGAAAUCUGGAGAUUCCUCCUGCGAGAUUAUAGAGAGCAGUUUUGACAUCACGGAACACUGAAAUUUAUAAAUGAGGUGAUUUGGUUGCCUGACAUCUACUGGAGACUAACCAUGUGUCCCAGAAAGACGAUGAACUUGAGGGAGGAGGAGUUGAGAUGGCAAGAGGGUGAAAGAGUUCCUGUUGACUUUGGGCAGUAACACUGAUAUUCCGGCCUCUCGACAGUGUAACUUGAGAAAUGCUGCUGAGCAGGGUGAGGAAGCCCAUGGAGCCUGUCUGGAGUGCCUCCAGUCCCCAUGUUCCCUUGGGCUGCAGCGGAAAUAUUCUAGGCAUGAGGUACCUGUGGACUCGAAUUCCACACUAGUGACAGUGAGCGACACAUAUGGAGCUGGGGGAAGAUAUCUCAGCAAUCAAGCAGUUGACGCCUCUGUAGUUCUCAGGACCUAAGUCCGGUGAACCACAACUCAGUUGUGGGGGAACCCAACUCUUCCUGUAGGCACCUGAACUCACGCCUGUGUGACUGCACACGUGCACAGCACCAAAGAAAAUGUUCCUUCUUCGUGGUCAUGAGACUAAGUAUUUGGAAUCAUAACAUUUAUGAUGUAGCACUGAACCAUGAUUUUGCGACACCUAGAGCAGCCAUGUGGGUCAACCCUCAGCAGACUAUGGCUUGAAGGAGUUGUCAGUCAUAACUGUCUACAGGCAACCAUGCAUGAGGCAUCUCUCUAUCAUGGGACACUGCUGCAUUGAUCUCCCACCAGAAAACUAAGAGAAACCACCAGCGGCUAAUGGCACUCCAGAGAUAGUUUAAGUUGCUUCUGCAAGACAUCUUGUCAUGUGGUGAUCUACUCAUCUAAGAGGAUGAGGAACUUUUGGAGCGCCGUGGUGACCUUGAAGGUGACAAUGACACCAUCCAUUCCUAGAACAUUGUGACAGCUGCCACCUGAACGGGUAAAAGUGGUACAUGGGGAUCUACCCCCCCCAGAUGGCAGGACGCUCACAGAAGGGUCAGAUGGUGCAGGUAAACACUCCCACUCAUGAGUAUUUUUCUAUUAAGGGAGGUUGCUCUAUGCCUAGCUAGGUUUGCCCCAUGUUGCUCUUUGCUUUCUGCUUGGGAGUAGCUUUCCCCUGUGCUUUCCUCUCCUUCGUAG